UGGGAUAGGGAUUAGGACUUAGUAACCGCCAAAAGAGCACAGAUUUGCUAAACUCAGGAUUACCUUUUAAGGAUAAAGCUAUAUCAGACAUCCUGAUUGGUGCUGUAAAAACCAAAAAGGCUAUAAAUACAAUGUACUUCCUGGAGCACGCUCUCUUUGACCUGAUGUAGCUGUGUAAGAAUAAAGUCCGUUUGACCUCUGGUAACUCGGCUCAGUGUCUAGUUCUUCCUCGGAAGCCGGUGACGACCGAAGACCCAGAAGAUGGAUAAGGAAACUGUCAAAAAAGAAUCACACAACUAUCAACUGUCUGAGAUUGGAUUUGAACUCCAAACCACUCCACUAUUUGCCAAGAAAAACCCAAAUGUGGUCACAAAAAAUCAAGUACAAUUGAAAUAAAUGAAUAAUUUCUUGA